rnacentral:rRNA from 1 species
GACGAACGCUGGCGGCGUGCCUAAUACAUGCAAGUAGAACGCUGAAGACAGGAGUUUGCUCUUCCUGGUUGAGUUGCGAACGGGUGAGUAACGCGUAGGUAACCUGCCUUGUAGCGGGGGAUAAUUAUUGGAAACGAUAGCUAAUACCGCAUAACAAUGGAUGACACAUGUCAUUUAUUUGAAAGUGGCAAUUUCUUCACUACAAGAUGGACCUGCGUUGUAUUAGCUAGUAGGUGAGGUAAUGGCUCACCUAGGCGAGGAUACAUAGCCGCCCUGAGAGGGUGAGCGGCAACGCUGGGACGGGGACACGGCCCAGACUACUGCGGGAGGGAGCCGUAGGGGAUCUUCAGCGAUGGGGGCAGCCCUGACCAAGGGACGCCGCGUGAGUGCGGAAGGUUGUCGGGUCGUGAAGCUCUGGUGGAAGUUAAGAACGGGUGUGAGAGUGGAAAGUUCAGACAGUGACGGUAGCGGAACAGAAAGGGACGGCUAACUACGUG